rnacentral:tRNA from 1 species
GGGGUUGUGGCCCAGUGGUAAAGCUCCUGCUUAGAAUGUAGAAAGCCCCAUGUUCAGUUCCUGGCAUCUCCU